rnacentral:rRNA from 1 species
GAUGAACGCUGGCGGCGUGCCUAAUACAUGCAAGUCGAGCGAACAGACGAGGAGCUUGCUCCUCUGACGUUAGCGGCGGACGGGUGAGUAACACGUGGAUAACCUACCUAUAAGACUGGGAUAACUUCGGGAAACCGGAGCUAAUACCGGAUAAUAUAUUGAACCGCAUGGUUCAAUAGUGAAAGACGGUUUUGCUGUCACUUAUAGAUGGAUCCGCGCCGCAUUAGCUAGUUGGUAAGGUAACGGCUUACCAAGGCGACGAUGCGUAGCCGACCUGAGAGGGGGAUAGGCGACACGGGAACUGAGACGGGGUCCAGACUCCUAAGGGAGGCAGCAGAAGGGAAUCUUACGCAAUGGGCGAAAGCAUGACGGAGUAAGGCGGCGUGAGAGAUGAAGGUCUUCGGAGCGUAAAGAUCUGUUAUUAGGGAAGAACAAAUGUGUAAGUAGCUAUGCACGGCUUGACGGUACCGGAUCAGAAAGCCACGGCUAACUACGUG